ensembl:lncRNA LINC02027 long intergenic non-protein coding RNA 2027
CUGGCACAACCAUUAAGACCCUCAUCUAUAGUGGACUGGAACAAAGCACAGUUCAUUAGCCAGAACUUCUAGCACCAUGUUGAACAGAAAUGGUGACAGUGGGCAUCUUUAUAUAAUUCCGAAACCAGGGAGGUAUCUCUCAAUAACCUAAGGUGACUGUAACACAGAUUGAUGAAAGAUUCUGCAGGACGACAAAGGUUAAAGAUGUAGACCCGGAGCUAGAAGCCAGCACUGACACUGAUGGAGUGGACUGCGAUGAGAAUGCCCACAUUAUUGUCCUAUCCUCUGAUAACCAAUGUAAUAUGAAAACCGACUACAGAAGAAAGGAACAAAUUAAAUCCAUUAAUCAAGCAUA